AAGUUAAAUUUGAGGCGAGAGCUAGUUCUAGGCUUGUGUUAUGUUAACUGUUGUCAUAGCAACCCCAUAGCAACUGCAUGCCAAGAUGGCUGUCAAUUACAAAAUUCGUGAAAAGUGACCUCACAAGAAAACGCAUGUUUUUGUACUCACAGAAAAACAGCUUUGUUGCCAUGGCAAUAUGAAACCAACGACAGGCCUCACUGACCUCAGCUCGACACCGCGGGCCAAUGCCAGUCCGGAGAGUCGGCGGUGCGAACCCAGAUUAACGCAGCAGGACUCGGAACAAAAGGGAAACUUGUUUCUGUCGAGGAGUUUGGCUAUCAAUCUUCAAAAUCACUGUAAAACUAUUCACAUUUCACCCAUAACUGAACCAACUCACGUCGAUAAAAUGAAAGAGCAGCCUUGGUGUUCCUCCCACUAUUUGAUGGGAAUGCAGCAAAUUCUGAUCUGAACAGGCUUCCGUUGUCUUGAACAGACUGAAUCUGCAUGUUUUCAAUCCGCAUCUCCCUCGCUGCAUAAAGAGAUGUUGUGGAAAGAAACAAAGAACCCAUUAAAGCUAGAAAUGCGGUA